UUGGCUGGAGAGCAUGAGAAAAGACCCAAAUGCGUGACUGUCACUCUCAAUGUGUGACACUUGACAGCCCAGUGGGUGUUAGUAGUUGCAACUUCCUGUUUCUCAGUAAAGUAUUAUUAGUUCUGUAAAAGAAGCUCCAUCUUGCUUUUGUAGUCGUUCAUCACUCAGGUCCAAGAUCUCCAUCAAGUACAGAGAGAGGAUUGUUCUCUGGACAAAAUGAGAAUACAGGUCAUUUUUGGAGUCCUGUUGAUUUACACCCACGUUGUCAUGGGUUCACUGUUUCAGGAUCAUGUUGUCUGUAGAUUUACUCAGAUUAAUCAGUGUUAUGUAGCUAUGGGACAACGACUGCACCUGCAAAUGCUGCUGGAGGAUGGGUUUGACCUAAAGGCCACUAGUUUAAUUUUAAAAUAUA